UACGUAGGGUGCAAGCGUUUAAUCGGAAUUAUUGGGCGUAAAGCGCGCGCAGGCGGUCCUUUAAGUCUGAUGUGAAAGCCCACGGCUUAACCGUGGAGGGUCAUUGGAAACUGGGGGACUUGAGUACAGAAGAGGAGAGUGGAAUUCUACGUGUAGCGGUGAAAUGCGUAGAUAUCGAGAGGAACACCUGCGGCGAAGGCGGGUUGCUGGGCUGACACUGACGCUGAUGCGCGAAAGCUAGGGGAGCAAACGGG
rnacentral:rRNA from 1 species